rnacentral:misc_RNA from 1 species
AAUUAUCAAAACCUUUUUCUUUGAUCCUUUUUGGUCUGGAAAAGGACUUUUGGACUUGGAGGUUCAAUGCUCGCUUUUGCCUUUGAAAGUGAGCUCCUCUCAAAUGAAUUAGUGGGGUCCGCUUUGCUGAUCCUUGACGUGAUAAGAUGUUUCUACGUUUUGGAUUUGGCAUUGUCCCUUGGAUGUCCGCUCCUAACCGUCUCAUGGACGAUGAUGGUGCUCCGGUCACUGCCAUUUACGUUGGCGGGAGGCUGGGCCCACAAAAUA